UACGUAGGGACCGAGCGUUGUCCGGAAUCAUUGGGCGUAAAGAGCGUGUAGGCGGCUAUUUAAGUCCUGCGUGAAAUCCUGCGGCUCAACCGCAGACGGUCGUGGGAAACUGGAUGGCUAGAGUGCGGGAGAGGAGAGUGGAAUUCCCGGUGUAGCGGUGAAAUGCGCAGAUAUCAGGAAGAACACCCGUGGCGAAGGCGGUUCUCUGGGACGGUACUGACGCUGAGACGCGAAAGCGUGGGGAGCGAACAGG
rnacentral:rRNA from 1 species